CCUACGGGUGGCAGCAGUGGGGAAUAUUGCACAAUGGGGGAAACCCUGAUGCAGCGACGCCGCGUGAGUGAAGAAGUAAUUCGGUAUGUAAAGCUCUAUUAGCAGGGAAGAAAAUGACGGUACCUGAGUAAGAAGCCCCGGCUAACUACGUGCCAGCAGCCGCGGUAAUACGUAGGGAGCAAGCGUUAUCCGGAUUUACUGGGUGUAAAGGGAGCGUAGACGGCAGUGCAAGUCUGGAGUGAAAGGCGGGGACUCAACCCCCGGACUGCUCUGGAAACUGUACGGCUGGAGUGCAGGAGAGGUAAGUGGAAUUCCUGGUGUAGCGGUGAAAUGCUUAGAUAUUAUGAGGAACACCAGUGGCGAAGGCGGCUUACUGGACUGUAACUGACGUUGAGGCUCGAAAGCGUGGGGAGCAAACAGGAUUAGAUACCCUGGUAGUC
rnacentral:rRNA from 1 species